GCUGGGGUCGGUAACGUGGCCUUGUAACUCAAGUGAGGGCUUUAAGGUGAUGGGAUGUUGGCUCUAGCCAAUGAGUCGGAUUCAAUUGGCUAAUUGCUGGCUUGCCCAGUCCAAGUCAAGAGUUGGGCCUUGUAGUCCUAGCGAAAGCUGGGAUUAUUCUGCCCCUAAAGUGGGAGGGUACUGCGUGAGGCUGGUUUCACAGAGCAGCGUUCACCUCCCGCUCUUGACAGUGGAUGGAUUACAGGCCGGUGCCGUUUGGUCUCAACAUGGCUUCAUUGGUUGAUCUCAAUUAGACUAUCACCUUU
rnacentral:SRP_RNA from 1 species